AGGAUAAUAUCAUAGUUAGCAGGAUAAUAACGUGGUCAGCAGCAGGAUAAUAACGUGGUCACCCGCAUACCUGGUGGCACUGAGGGUGCCACCUUUUUACUAAUAAUAAUCUGACUGCAAUAGUAUCAAGACCAAAGUAGGAUAUAACAUGGCUAAUUCUUGCUGCCCCCCUCGUCAUGACCAAUUUAAGACUGUUCUACAUUUUGAAUUUGUGUAUAUUUAUGCUAU